rnacentral:rRNA from 1 species
AGUGGAUGGGGAGCAACCUAGUUGUGCGUGUGUAAAGGUAGUGCCAAGAAAAGCGGUGAUCAUGAUGAAAAUCAAUUCCCGGUACCCGAAACCGACACAGGUGGGCAAGUAGAGAAUACUAAGGGGCGCGAGGUAACUCUCUCCAAGGAACUCGGCAAAAUGACCCCGUAACUUAGGGAGAAGGGGUGCCACCGAGAGGUGGUCGCAGUGAAGAGGCCCAGGCGACUGUUUAGCAAAAACAUAGGUCUCUGCAAACUCGAAAGAGGAGGUAUAGGGGCUGACGCCUGCCCAGUGCCGGAAGGUUAAAGAAGUUGGUCAGUCUUAGGAUAAAGCUAGCGACUGAAGCCCCGGUGAACGGCGGCCGUAACUAUAACGGUCCUAAGGUAGCGAAAUUCCUUGUCGGGUAAGUUCCGACCCGCACGAAAGGCGUAACGAUCUGGGCGCUGUCUCGGAGAGAGGCUCGGCGAAAUAGGAUUGUCUGUGAAGAUACGGACUACCUGCAUUUGGACAGAAAGACCCUAUGAAGCUUUACUAUAGCUUGGAAUUGUGUUCGGGCUUCCUGUGCGCAGGAUAGGUGGGAGGCGAAGAAGGUAUUCUUGUGGGGAUACUGGAGCCAACGGUGAGAUACCACUCUCAGGAGGCUAGAAUUCUAACUUAAUUAAGGACAGUUUCAGGUGGGUAGUUUGACUGGGGCGGUCGCCUCCAAAAAGGUAACGGAGGCGUACAAAGGUUCCCUCAGACUGGUUGGAAAUCAGUCGCAGAGUGCAAAGGCAGAAGGGAGCUUGACUGCGAGAAGUACAGUUCGAGCAGGGUGGAAACACGGUCUUAGUGAUCCGACGGUGCUGUGUGGAAGGGCCGUCGCUCAACGGAUAAAAGUUACUCUAGGGAUAACAGGCUGAUCUCCCCCAAGAGUUCACAUCGACGGGGAGGUUUGGCACCUCGAUGUCGGCUCAUCGCAACCUGGGGCGGAAGUACGUCCCAAGGGUUGGGCUGUUCGCCCAUUAAAGCGGUACGUGAGCUGGGUUCAGAACGUUGAGACAGUUCGGUCCAUAUCCGAUGUAGGCGUGAGAAUAUUGAGAGGAGCCUUCCUUAGUACGAGAGGACCGGGAAGGACGCACCGCUGGUGUACCUGUUAUGAUGCCAAUUGUAAACGCAGGGUAGCCAAGUGCGGAGAGGAUAACCGCUGAAAGCAUCUAAGUGGGAAGCCCACCUCAAGAUGAGUAUUCUGGUGUAAGGUCACGGGAAGACGACCCGUAAAUAGGCACGAGGUGGAAGUGCAGAGAUGUAUGAAGCCGAAGUGUACUAAUAGACCGUCGGCUUGAC